rnacentral:lncRNA from 1 species
GUACUCUCAUGGUAGGCAAGAUAUGAAUCUUCCUUGAAGUGGCACAUAGAAUGAAUGGGGGGUAACUGGCCCAUGGAGAACACUCGAUAAAGCUCGGGGAUGAACACGAUCUCGGCAAUCAUGGAGUCAGAACGUGCUGCCAUUAGCUCAGGAAUGACUGAGAUCACUGGAAGGGCCUUGAUCUCAGGGUCUCAGGAGUCGGAGACUCUGAUCCAGCUCAGGGCUCAGGGGUCGGAGGACUCAGUCCCAGCUCAGGGUCUCCAGGGGUUGGGGGAUUCAGUCCCAGCUCACGGUCUCCAGGGGUCGGGGGACUCAGUCCCAGCUCAGGGGCUCCAGGGGUCGGGGACUCAGUCCCAGCUCAGGGGCUCCAGGGUCGGGGAUCGCAGUCCCAGCUCAGGGGCUCCAGGGUGGGGGACUCAGUCCCAGCUCAGGGUCUCCAGGGGUCGGAGGACUCAGUCCCAGCUCAGGGGCUCCAGGGGUCGGGGGACUCAGUCCCAGCUCACGGUCUCCAAGGGUCGGGGGACUCAGUCCCAGCUCAGGGGCUCCAGGGGUCGGGGGACUCAGUCAGCUCAGGGGCUCGGGGGAGGUCGGGAACUCGGUCCCGGCUCACGGUCUCGGGGUUGGGACUCAGUCCCAGCUCAGAAGCAGGGGGCUCAGGGGUCGGGGACUCGGUCCCAGCUCAGGAGUCUCCAGGGUUGGGGAUCUGGUCCCAGCUCAGAAUCAGAAUUCGGAGGACUCAGUCCCAGCUCAGGGGCUCCAGGGGUCGGGGGACUCAGUCCCAGCUCAGGGUCUCCAGGGGUCGGGGGAUGCGGUCCCAGCUCAGGGGCUCCAGGUGUGGGAGCAGCCCAAAACCCCUCUCAGGCUGGGAUGAGGGGCCGGGCUAUGGGGCUUCAGGGGUCCUGCUCUCCCUCUGUGACUCUGUUCCUCUUCUCGGACUCCCACCUUCCACUGCUGCCUCUCUGCUCUGUCCUGUUCUCUCAUUUUUGUAGCUCAAAAAUGCCCCACCCUCUCCAGGUCCCUUCUGACUUCUAA